CUACGGGGGGCACCAGUGGGGAAUAUUGCACAAUGGAGGAAACUCUGAUGCAGCAACGCCGCGUGGAGGAUGACACUUUUCGGAGCGUAAACUCCUUUUAUAUAGGAAGAAGAUGACGGUACUAUAUGAAUAAGCGCCGGCUAACUCCGUGCCAGCAGCCGCGGUAAUACGGAGGGCGCAAGCGUUACUCGGAAUCACUGGGCGUAAAGAGCGUGUAGGCGGAUUAAAAAGUCAGAAGUGAAAUCCUAUAGCUUAACUAUAGAACUGCUUCUGAAACUCUUAAUCUAGAAUAUGGGAGAGGUAGAUGGAAUUUCUGGUGUAGGGGUAAAAUCCGUAGAGAUCAGAAGGAAUACCGAUUGCGAAGGCGAUCUACUAGAACAUUAUUGACGCUGAGACGCGAAAGCGUGAGGAGCAAACAGGAUUAGAUACCCGGGUAGUC
rnacentral:rRNA from 1 species